rnacentral:rRNA from 1 species
GUAGGGAAUAUUGCGCAAUGGACGAAAGUCUGACGCAGCGACGCCGCGUGAGUGAUGAAGGCCUUAGGGUCGUAAAGCUCUGUUGAAUGGGAAGAAAAAAAUGACGGUACCAUUCGGGGAAGGACCGGCUAACUUCGUGCCAGCAGCCGCGGUAAUACGAGGGGUCCUAGCGUUGUUCGGAAUCAUUGGGCGUAAAGGGUGUGUAGGUGGCCAUGUAAGUCAGGUGUGAAAGCCCCGGGCUCAACCCGGGAAGUGCACUUGAUACUGCGUGGCUUGAGUACCGAAGAGGGUAGUGGAAUUCCAGGUGUAGUGGUGAAAUACGUAGAUAUCUGGAGGAACACCGGUGGCGAAGGCGGCUACCUGGUCGAGUACUGACACUGAGACACGAAAGCAUGGGGAUCAAACAGGAUUAGAUACCCGGGUAGUCC